ACGCGUGUGACAGAGUUGUCUCCGUGCAUUGUUUUUUACAGGAUAAGCUAUUGGUCGUGUCGGUCACCGCUUUGAUCUGAUCGAUGAUUCAAGAGGCUACGUGGCUCUUCCUUCUCUUAGUUCUUUCCACGUGUCCCACGAUCACUACCUCUAGAGAACUCCUGUUAAAUCUCGCACCAUCACCUAGCGAUUCGUUACCGUUCCAUGAUUUGCCGCGUGUGGCCGCUCCAUCGCCAUAUGGAAUUAUAAAAGCCUCUCCUCCUCUCGAUCGAUGAUUCAUACCUCGCCUCAAAUUGCCUCCACACCUACGUCCCUUCCAGCCGCCGAUCUGUGCCGCACAAGAGCAGCGGAGCCCGGCCGCAGGGCUCCAAUCCCACCUCCGCGCGACUGGUAGACGCACGCGAAGGCCACGAUAGAAGAGAGGGGCCUCGCUGUUGACAGAGGCCAGAGGUCUCUGGGCGAUCCGACCAGCCCGCCGACGCCCCAAGCUCACGCCGUCGGGGCCUUCCGCUCCGCGUCGUCAUCCCGGGGAGCCGCCACCUCUGCUUCGGCGCUACGCCACCCUGCCGCCCUCGAGGGUGCCCAUCAAAUCCGGUGCUGCCCCAGCAUAUCGACCACGAACGCGUACGCGUCCACCAAUCUCCCCGCCGGUGUUGCCGGGUCCGCCGGCCUCGCCGUCCGGGAUGCUCAGCAGGCAGGCUACCGGAGGACGUGCAAGCAGGCGGCAGACUACGCGCUCCCAACCUGCCUGCGAGGACGGAGAAGGAGCAGGAUGCGCACUGCCUGUGAGGCCUGCUGCCACCGGUCGUCCUGCCCCAUGAGCUUCACGAGAAGCGGCUCCCAACAAACAUGCCCAUGGACCUUCAGGUCAGCUCUACCUUCAGCCAUGCGUGCAUUUCUGCAGAGGCAAAUUUGGCAUGCAUGACAGCUUUAACGAUUGGUGUUGAAUGAUGCGUUAAUCUGUUUGCAGGAGAGAGAUGAGAGCCUCUUAUUCUUAUACGAGCUCACAUAUUUUGAAGAAAUCAUGUGGAACAUUUAUGUACUAACCUUUAUUAGAAAAGUAUUAUCCUUUCUUUUAUUUAAAAAAGUCACCAAGAUGAGGUUUAAAGUCCAAUGUCUACAAACAAUGAAACCAUUUCUUCUAUGAUCUAUCUGGCUUUUAAUUAUUGACUGCAACCAAAAAUUUUGUUGUCAGUUUAGUAAUGGCAUAGCUGAAUGUAUUUGCUAUGACAUGCAGGUAAUUUGCAUUUUUUUUACCACUGUCAUUCUAUAUGGAUUCGUACCAUUGUGUGUUCUCUUACCUGGCACUAAUUUCUGCUGCUUAUGCCAUCUGCAUCAAAGUAUCAUUUUCUGACUAUUGUACCGCAUCCAUAUUAUUCUCAUGUUUAGUAGUUAUCAGAUUGUUUGUAUAUGACGGAUUAGAAAGCCUUAUCACCUAACAUUUAUUUGAGUAUUAAUAUGAUAGUGCCAGAUGUCUAUAGAUUUUUCUUCAGCAAUCUGCGCAACUGAAUCCGCAAUUACCCAGCUAAAAUAAGCUCCUACUAUUACUGGCUUAACAGUCUACAAGUGCUACAUCUACAGUGGGUGCAAUGAGGUAGAUAUAUGGAACAUAUCGGCAGGCUGUUUGGUAAUUAUGGUGUAACAAGUUUGAGUCAAAUUGUUGUAUGCGAAACCUAUGAACCAAAACUGACAGGUAUCCUGGCUUCGUGCUAUAGAUAAGUGUUAGAUACUUAUUUGUGCAGGAGAUAAAGUAGAGAGUGUAGUGAAUGUGCGUCUCAUUAGCGGUAGGCAAGGCAAACAAUGUGAAUGAAUAUCCCUCUUGUGUUGGUUUGUAAACUAUUCCCUCCGUCCGAAAAUAAGUGUCUUAACCUUAGUAUAAUUUUGUAUUAAAGUUAGUAUAAAGUUGAGACACUUAUUUUGGGACGGAGGGAGUACUUAAUACUGAAUUACUUGAUGUUGAAAAUAUUUGUGAUCAAAAUAUAAUGAGUUGACAAGAUAGCUACCUUCAGGCCAGGGAAACAUGAGGGUACAUUUCUGGGUUCAUGCUAAUAUUUCCACUCCUUUUUUGCCGCCCAGUGGUAGAAGCUAAAUGCGUACUAUGUUGAUCAAUAUUCUUGAUUUAAGAGUACAAGUGAAGCUGAUCUGUUUUAGUUAUUACUGAAUUUAAGAACUUUUGACUUAAGAGUACAGAGUGACGUUGAUUUGUUUCAGUUAUUACUAAAUUUAGGAACAUCUUUGUAUGCCCCUGUUGUUGAUAUAACAAGGCCUGGUAUGUUUCAAUAUAUUCUAAUAUUUUACUAUGGUGCUCCUGGUAUGUUUAAGACACUAAUGAUAAUUUUAGGCUUAUGCGUUGCUAUAUUUUCUUUUGACGUUGUGGACUGAAGACAAAUUGAUGACCUUUCUAUAGCCAAGAGUAUACUUACUUCAGGACUAAAAAUUGAUGGAUUGUAUCCUUUUUUCCUUUGCACUCAGGGACCAAGACAGAGGGUCUGAGUGGUAACAUGGGACCAAAUGUGCUAACUGAAGCACAUGUAUGCAAUACCAAUCUGUAUUUGUAUAUGACAAGCAUUGACAUGAAACGAGCACCUAUACAAAACACAGACUACUACCACUGCUCCUCUAUUACCUUUUGGCCUGCUCAAAUGUAGUUGGUUUUCACUGAUCUCAAUUUCAACUGCGAAGAUGCAAGUAGUGUGCAAUGUGCACUGUAUCCACUUGAUACCUGCAACGAAUCGAUCAAUUGAUCAUAUAACUGUAUGGGCCAAAAAAAAUACCUCAGUAAACAAGUAGAAAUUUUCUUCAA